rnacentral:rRNA from 1 species
AAUGAACGCUGGCGGCGUGGAUUAGGCAUGCAAGUCGAACGCGAAAGUGGCCGCAAGGCUGCGAGUAGAGUGGCGAAAGGGCGAGUAAUGCUUGGAUGACCUACCCUCGAGACGGGGAUAACAGUUCGAAAGGACUGCUAAUACCCGAUGGUCCGUCCCGGAUGCGUCCGGGCCGGUAAACGGUUGAUUCCGCUCGUGGAGGGGUCCAAGUCCUAUCAGCUAGUUGGUGAGGUAACGGCUCACCAAGGCAACGACGGGUAGGCGGUCUGAGAGGACGACCGCCCGCAUCGGGACUGAGACACUGCCCGGACUCCUACGGGAGGCUGCAGUCGAGAAUCUUCUGCAAUGGGGGCAACCCUGACAGAGCGACGCCGCGUGGAGGAUGAAGGCCCUCGGGUUGUAAACUCCUGUCACAUGUUAAGAAACGUACGGGUCCACCCGUACGCUGACGAAGGCAUGAGAGGAAGUCACGGCUAACUUCGUGCCAGCAGCCGCGGUAAGACGAAGGUGGCAAGCGUUAUUCGGAUUUACUGGGCAUAAAGCGCGCGUAGGCGGCUUGGCAAGUCGGGGGUGAAAGCCCGCAGCUCAACUGCGGAACUGCCUUCGAUACUGCCGGGCUUGAGGGCGGGAGGGGUGAUUGGAACUCCAGGUGUAGCGGUGAAAUGCGUAGAUAUCUGGAGGAACACCGGAGGCGAAGGCGAAUCACUGGACCGCUUCUGACGCUGAGGCGCGAAAGCUAGGGGAGCAAACAGGAUUAGAUACCCUGGUAGUCCUAGCUGUAAACGAUGGGCACUAGGCAGUGGAGGUCCGAUGCCGUCACUGUCGGAGUAAAUAUGCUAAGUGCCCCGCCUGGGGAGUACGGCCGCAAGGCUG